GUAUCGUUAGCAAUGGCUUUCCAUCCCCCGCACUCAGCAGACAAGGAGCAGAUCAUGGAUCCCUUGCAGCAAAAUCUGUUUUUUGAGGGAUUUCUGAGGAAAAGGAAAGACACCAUGAAAUUAACUUGGGCAAAAUACUGGUUCAAGCUUCAGAACACGACAUUGUAUUUCUACACCAAGAGAAACGCCGAACCCGCUUGUCUCCGUGGUCAAUAUCACAUGUAUUCUGCGCAGUCAGUGAGGCGCGUGGACACUCCAGAUGGAGACUUCACCUUUGAAAUAGUCAUGAAGAAUGGAAAGAAGAAAUUACUGAGUGCGGAGUCAGAUGAGCUGCGGGACGUGUGGAUACAGCUCCUGUGGAAAUCCAUGCAGCUUCCGGGCCCCAGCCGCUCCAGCUCCUCCUGCACCUGGUUUGACGUCCCGGAGCUCGUCCGCCGCGGUCACUCGGCUUCUCUUCCCUUCAGCUCUGAUCAGACUCUGAGCGACGGCGUCUCCGAAAAUCCACCAGGAUCGGUGCAACAAAGCGAAAGCUCCUCGUCUUUAGAUAACUCGAGUUUUCCAACAUCGACCCGAUCGGUGCAAGACGUUCACAGCGGAAGUGACGGUAGUGCCAAUCCUGACUCCAACAUCUACGAUUUUCCCAGACCUCACAUAUACCCUUCCACUCAACCUGCUGCGGCACCUGAUGCUGCUUCACCUGCGUCUCUUGUUCCCUCAUGGGGAGAUGGAACAAAAUCUUUAUUUCCUGAUGCUGCUAGGGGGUGGGACUACAUGCCGAUGGAGCAGCUCAACCUCUGCGGUUCCCCAAUGCUGGGAGAAGACUUGCUCCCAGAAUCCUGUGCAGUGCUCUCUGUGAUGGAGGCUCCAACACAUGGUGAUGGCAAAACACCCCCAAAUCCUGUAGCGGUCCCUAUCAGAAAACGAUUGCACCCCCUGAGAGAUUCCUUGUGUAGAAAGUCAGAUCUGGGUGUGACUGGAGGAUAGGACAUGAUGUAGAAUAGUGAGCGCAGCAUUGGAUGUGACUAGAGUAACAGUCUUGUUAUGUGGUAGGUGUGGAGCCGCAGCGCAUGUUGAUGACCGAUAUAAACGUCUACGACACUCCAGUCCCCAUGACCUCACAGAGGCUCGCAGGGCUGGACACAGCUGGAACAUCAGAUGCCUAGAAUUCUGGAUUACUGGAGAGAAUUACACAGAGGUCUGCUCCACCUGCACACCAGGCACAUAGGGUGCAGAUUUCAUGGCGGGGGUGUCAACUCUGAAGAUGUGAAGGGGCAGGACUGCAGCAGAGGACUGUGGUAUAUGGGGGGCUGCGGUGUAGAGGAGGGGGGUCUGCAGAGGACUGCAGUGUAGAGAAGUGUGGGUGCAGA